GGAGGGGUCGGCAAUUGAACCGGUGCCUAGAGAAGGUGGCGCGGGGUAAACUGGGAAAGUGAUGUCGUGUACUGGCUCC
rnacentral:misc_RNA from 1 species